rnacentral:rRNA from 1 species
AUUGAACGCUAGCGGCAUGCUUAACACAUGCAAGUCGAACGAGUGGCGGACGGGUGAGUAAUAUAUGGGAAACUGCCCAGUGGCGGGGGAUAACUACUGGAAACAGUGGCUAAUACCGCAUACCAUCCGAUGGGCCGAGAUGGGAUUAGCUAGUUGGUGGGGUAACGGCUCACCAAGGCAACGAUCCGUAGCUGGUUUGAGAGGAUGACCAGCCACACUGGGACUGAGACACGGCCCAGACUCCUACGGGAGGCAGCAGUGGGGAAUUUUGGACAAUGGGGGAAACCCUGAUGCAGCCAUCCCGCGUGUAUGAAGAAGGCCUUCGGGUUGUAAAGUACUUUUAGCGGGGAGGCGGUAUCUGCAGAAUAAGCACCGGCUAACUACGUGCCAGCAGCCGCGGUAAUAC